ensembl:ncRNA T07F12.11 ncRNA
AAGCCUCUCUCAGGAUCGGUGACAACAUUGACACACGACGAGUGCGCGCAACGAUAUGGCAUGGUUGGUGAAGCUAGCAAGAAAAAAUGC